AUGUUGGGUUAAGUCCCGUAACGAGCGCAACCCUUGUCCUUAGUUACCAGCACGUUAUGGUGGGCACUCUAAGGAGACUGCCGGUGACAAACCGGAGGAAGGUGGGGAUGACGUCAAGUCAUCAUGGCCCUUACGGCCUGGGCUACACACGUGCUACAAUGGUCGGUACAAAGGGUUGCCAAGACCGCGAGGUGGAGCUAAUCCCAUAAAACCGAUCGUAGUCCGGAUCGCAGUCUGCAACUCGACUGCGUGAAGUCGGAAUCGCUAGUAAUCGUGAAUCAGAAUGUCACGGUGAAUACGUUCCCGGGCCUU
rnacentral:rRNA from 1 species